UUAAGCCCACCUGCCUGCAGGUAUAUUUUCCUUUCCAUCUCUGAUAGGUGCUCAGUUUUCAGGAGGAGGGGUCACACACGACUAUUUCAGCUAAUCCAGAUAAAAGAUUUGUGGUGUAAAAGAAAAAGAAAAGAAAAAAGAUAAAACGCUAUUCAAGCAAACUCAAAACCAAAAAAGCAGGACAGAACGGUAUUGCCAGGGUCAACAGUUUUAUGAGACCUCAAAGUUUUCAGGGGUCUGCCAAAAAGAGCUCUGAAAGAAUGCAACCCAGGAAUUUCAAGAUGGUUAUGCUUUUUGUCUUACUUGGCACGUGCUCGCAGAGUGCUGCCCAAGACGAUAUUAAUUUAGCCAUACACACGGUAACAUCAAAAAGCUUGACGGUCCGGUGGAGUAAGUUCUUAGGUGCCAGCUCAUACAAGAUCACAGCAACUCCAAAGAAUUCGCCUGAGCCGUCUGCCUUUGCCCAGUUCAGUGAAAAUUCUGUGAUGGGCUCUGUGAAUUCACUGACUCCCAACACCAUUUACAUCGUGGAGGUGGAAGCCGUGGAUAUUGCUUUGCAUGUCCUGAGUAGUGCAGAGCUUGAAGAGGUCACAGCACCUGAAGUGCCAACAAUUGAGCAGGCAUACUCGAAACAGAGCGACAGCAUCACAGUGGAGUUCAGUGCCGUACCCGGGGCUGGCUCAUAUGUUCUGCGAGCGGAGUCUACGAAAGGGAAGUUCUCCGAAACUCCAGUGUCUGCUUCCCCAGGGACGAUGCUCCACCUCCAACCAUACACCGACUACAUCCUCAGUGUCAUGUCAGUCAACAGCGGAGGAAUGAGCCAGCCUUCUCUGCCAGUGGAAGUAAAGACAGUGGUGGCUGCCCCUGAGCUCAACUCCACCUCUUCCAGUAACAGCACCAUCCUCCUGGCCUGGGAUGGGGUGGAGCAUGCGGUGCUUUAUACCCUGUGUAUCAUCAUGGAGGGGUCUGAUACUCGAGUCAAGCUCAACACCACCAACACAUCUGUGGCUUUCACAGACCUGGAGGCAGGCACAACCUACUGCAUUAAGGGAAAUGCCUGGGACCCCCACAGUAUACCAGGAGAGGACUUCACUGUCUGUCAGACCACACGCCCUCCUACCCCAGGCUCGGUCCAGGUGAUGCUGACUGUGGAUGGCUCUCAGGACAUGGCUGUACACUGGGAGAGCGUGCAUGGAGCGGACCGCUACCUUGCUCUCAGCACCACUGGCCAGAACUGCACCUCCUCUGACAGCUACUGUGUCAUCAGCCCCCUCAGCUGUGGUCAGAACCACUCCAUCACAGUCACUGCCUUAAAUCGGGCAGGGCCUAGCGGCCCCUCUCAACCAGAGGACUUCCUCACCUUUCCAUGUCCUCCGGAGUCGAUCUGGGUGGAGGAGCCGGUGCCGGGGAACUGCACGGUGGUGUGGAGCGUGGUGCCCUGGGUGGAGUACUACAAAGCCUUCGUGAAGAGGGACGACGGGAGUGAAGAGCUGUGCAACACCAACAGCAGCACCUGCAACUACCACUGCCAGUGUGGCUUCACCUACUUCAUGAAUGUCUUUGCCUACAACCAAGCAGGCUCCAGCCUGCCUGGCCAUGUUCUCAACUACACCACCAUCCCUUGCUGCCCGGAUGAUGUAUCCAUAUUCCUGGUGUCCACUGAAACCCUGGAGAUCACGUGGUCGCCUGUCCGUGCGGCAGAGGUGUACGAGACCAAGGCGGCUGGCUCGUCUCACCUCAUCCACUGCAAUGAUACAGCCCCUGUGUGCGCCCUCUCUGACCUCAGCUGUAACACCAGGUACAGUGUGGUGGUCCGGCCCUGCAGUGAGCUUAGAGGCUGCAACAACACCUGCAGACCUCACUCAGAGGAGACAGCUCCCUGCACACCUGAGAUCCUCAGCAUCACACAGACCAAUGCGUCCAGUGUCAACAUCUCCUGGAGCGCCAUCAACAGGGAGGCAAACUACACAGUGAACAUAGUGGGUGAGAUGGACUCCCAUACCUGCCACUCGACUGGAACUUCCUGCGAGAUCUCCCAUCUGCUGUGUGGCUCAACCUAUGAGGUCAGCGCCAUCGCCAGCACAUCGGUAGGGCAGAGCCUACCCAGCUACACCCUCCCCCUGGCAACAGGGCCCUGUUGCCCUCAGGUCCUGAAGGUGACACAAGUGACUCAGGCUAUGACUAACGUUACCUGGUCGGAGGGCGCAGGAGCACAGUCAUAUGUCACCUCCCUGACAUCACCAAGGGGCAAUGCCAAAUGCCAUACGCUAGAGACCCACUGCCUGAUGGGAUGCAUCACCUGCGGCACUAAUUAUACGGUGUCUCUGGAGGCCAUCAGCAGGGCAGGGCAUAAAUCUGAGUGCACCUACCACGGCUUCUCUUCCAGUGCCUGCUGCCCCUCCAGCGUGAAGCUCUACAGGAUGACCAACAAUACCAUCCGGGUGUACUGGCACUCCUCUGGCAAUCUCAAUAACUAUACCGCUGACCUGUUUGGCGCAAACUCCAACUACACCUGCACCCCCCCGCCGGGUGGUAACUCCUGCGAUGUUUCUGAGAUUAUGUGUGGGGAUGUCUACACUGUUGUGGUUGCCCCAUUGUCACAGGAUGGCACAAAAAUCAAGUUCUGUCCCAAAAGAAUGUAUUCUGUUUCCUGUUCUGGAAGCAAUGUUGGAAUGGGUAAGGUCAUAUGUCAAUGGACUAACAUGAUGUCAUGUGUACCUACAGUACUUAGGCUAUCAUCUCCAUAUAGAAGUUUAAUUGACAGCAUUGAUUUCGCUUGACAAUAGGCAGUUCAAUUUCUCAGUGGUAGCCAUUUAUCUGUUUUCUGUCUAAUACAACCAUUAAUUCUGGAAUUCACUAAUCCGUUCAUUUUUCAGUGAUCUAUCGAGGAAAAAGAAGUGUCAAUUAGCUGAUGAGAUCUUCAAGGGGCUUCAAGACAAUAAUUCAUCCAACUGAUUGCCAACAUUGCCAACUGAUAUUUCACCUCACCCUAAUCUACCUUCUGAAUGUCAGAAAUCUGCUACUCUGGAAAAAUGUGAUUGUUUUUAUAAUAUUCUUAUAUAUUGUGUUUACAAAAUAUUUACAACAAAGCUGAAUAGUUAAAGAAACAACACCUUAAACAGUACCUUUAUUUAAACAAUGUAAUUCAAUAAUUACAUUGUAAUUCAACAAUUUUCUUUGAAUAUGGCCGAUAAUGCAUCACACACAUAGAGCAUACAUAAAAGGUGCUAUUGUUGCUUUUUAUGGGAAAAAGUGCCAUCUAUUGUGUCUAUUUUUCAUGAGAGUUUUUUUUUCUCCAGUGAUGGCUUGAACAAUCUCAAUAACUUUUCACAUUUUAAGUUUUUGAAUUUGAAGAUGUUUAAUAUUAUACUGCAAAUAAUUCUGUCCAUUGUGAUUUGAAUGAUAAUAAUGCAUUGAAUCUUACUCAAAUAAACUGACAGUCUUUCCCUAUGUGAAAUAUAUACAACAGGUAUUAUUCAUCUCAGGAUAUUCAAAGCUCAAAGCUGUUUCUUAUGAAUUAUGUUAAACUA